GCCCUCGUGGCGGAACUGGUAGACGCGCCAGACUCAAAAUCUGGUUCCCGCAAGGGAGUGUCCGUUCGACUCGGACCGGGGGCACCA
rnacentral:tRNA from 1 species